CGAACGUCAGCUUCGUCCCGCUUCCCUGGCUGAAGAGGAGCAACGAGCAGAAGGUCGCUACGUUGCUCGCAGUGGCGAGGCUUGCGUUUCCAAGGUGGCCUGUGCCAAGGAACCUUUUCCGCUGUUUUUUCUUUUGUUUUCUCUUUCUCUCAGCCAGGUUCCCAGCUCUCUCUGUUACCGUCUGCUGGUUGCCUCCCCCGGCCCUUUCGGACACAGUUACUUUGCCGUAGCAUCUCCUAGCUCCUGGACGUGCAAGUCGUUCCAGAGAAAGCCCCGGGGGCCUAGCCUUGCGCAGGCUUUGCUGGACAGCCCAGUGUAACCUCAGUCCGCGCUGCUGACUUCAGGGAGCUCGUGCUCUGUCCAAAACCAUGACUUUCCAAAAAUCCUCUACUGAUUCUUUUCUGAGCUGCUACCAGUUAAAUGCAAGGAAGACGUUCUUUCCUUCAGUCGUGGUACAGAUGAUCUCGGUUUAAUAAAACCGAUCAGUAGAGGAGAGUAUGGGAUUUUGCCAUCCUACAUUAAGUGUGUACAUGCUAAGGCUAUGUCAUUUUUUUAGAGGUGGAAGAGGCUGGAGGUGAGGAGCCUAGACCAGCUCACAUGUAUGAGCAUCCAUCUGUUCAGACUGCAGGUGAUGGCAUGAGCCCAUGGCAAGCUCUCUCCUGACUUUCCCUGUGUUAGGCUGAUUUUGUGGCUUCUGGUCAAACUGUUUUUGAAAAAUAAUCAAAGUGUGGUGGGAGAGAAAGAACCGUUUCCCCAAAAUCUUAAAGGAAUGGACAAAUGGUUAAGUUUGGAGGAGGGAAAAAUAAGCUUGUGACUGGCCUGCUUCAGAAUGCUGGGACUGGAUCCAGUUAGGAAGGCAGCGAAGCUAUGUCUAGUAAGGAUGGAGAAGUAACGUUUAGAUGCGACAAGGAAAAGGGACGUUGACUGGAGCCGUGAGAAUUGUCUUCACCGUGUCUUCAGUUUGCAGCUGUCCAAGGUCAGCAGUACCUGUGCCAACUGGUUCCUGUGAGCUACAGGAACGAUUCCUACGCCAACUCAGAUGCGUGCAGCACAGGGAGCCGCGGGGGACGCCUUAACCAGCCUUGCCGGGUUACGUUGCCACCAGGAAUGAACGAUACAGUGACCCUGUUAGGGCUUCCCAACGUGACUGCUCACGUCCCUGCCAAGUGCUCUGAACUGUGGGGUGGUCACGCAGCUUAACUCUAGGGGAAAGUAGUCUCUAAGCACCCACAAGGUUGUGGGGAAUUGUUACAUGUUCUGAGCAGGUUAAUUAUACCCUGGUUUUCCUGCAGUCCCAGUUUCCCUGGGGUAUACGUUGGCAGUUCUGUACGAUUUUUCUGCUCGUUUUAGUUCUGUUUCAAUGGGUGACUUAGGUCUUCUACGUCUGGUGUCAAGAGCUAGUAGGGCCACGGAGCUGACCUCAGGAUGAGUCGUGGGAACCUCCUCAUGCAGGGUUCAAGCAUCUGUUAGCAGGGUAAACCCGCCGCUCCUGAGCGAAGGCCAGGACAGUGCUUCCUGCUGGUGUCACGAUGCCACUGGGGAAAGGUCCUCCAAGGACUUGCUAGAACUGCAGUGCUGCUGCAGCAACUGUAGGCAGAGGCACGAAACCCAAUCUUUUGGGUCAGCAAAAAACUCUUAAGAAUUGAUGUUGUUUGAAAAGCUGGAAAUCACUCAAUAUUGUGCUAGCAAAAAUAUUGGGAGGACCAAAGGGAUGUGAGAGGAUUGGUUAAAAAGGCAAGAGGAUGUGGAAUAAAGAGAGAAUAAUUGUGAUUAUUGUCUGACA
ensembl:lncRNA